AGCUAAUUAGCUAUACAUUGACAUAUGAUUAGGAGUGUCAAAAUGGGUAAGUCAACUCAACUCAACUUAUAAUCAAAUGAGUUUAGGGUAACAAAAUGAGUUGGGUCAACCCAUAACUCAUUUAAUUUGAUGGGUUGAGUUGUUAAAUGGGUUAACCCAUUUAAGUAAUAAUUUAAUUAAUUAUUAUU
rnacentral:sRNA from 1 species